rnacentral:rRNA from 1 species
AGAGUUUGAUCCUGGCUCAGAACGAACGCUGGCGGCAGGCUUAACACAUGCAAGUCGAACGAGAAGCAGGAGCUUGCUCCUGUGGAAAGUGGCAGACGGGUGAGUAACGCGUGGGAAUUUACCCAGUGGUUCGGAAUAACGCAUGGAAACGUGUGCUAAUACCGGAUACGCCCUUCGGGGGAAAGAUUUAUCGCCAUUGGAUGAGCCCGCGUCGGAUUAGCUUGUUGGUGAGGUAAAAGCUCACCAAGGCGACGAUCCGUAGCUGGUCUGAGAGGAUGAUCAGCCACACUGGGACUGAGACACGGCCCAGACUCCUACGGGAGGCAGCAGUGGGGAAUAUUGCGCAAUGGAGGAAACUCUGACGCAGCCAUGCCGCGUGAGUGAAGAAGGCCUUAGGGUUGUAAAACUCUUUCGCUAGGGAAGAUAAUGACGGUACCUAGUAAAGAAGCCCCGGCCAACUCCGUGCCAGCAGCCGCGGUAAUACGGAGGGGGCUAGCGUUGUUCGGAUUUACUGGGCGUAAAGCGCGCGUAGGCGGGCUGGUUAGUUGGGGGUGAAAUCCCAGGGCUCAACCCCGGAACUGCCCUCAAUACUGCUAGUCUUGAGUUCGAGAGAGGUAAGUGGAAUUCCUAGUGUAGAGGUGAAAUUCGUAGAUAUUAGGAAGAACACCAGUGGCGAA